CGACACCGCGCGGAACCCGAAAGCCGUUCUCAGUUCGGAUCGGAGUCUGCAACCCGACUCCGUGAAGCUGGAUUCGCUAGUAAUCGCGCAUCAGCCAUGGCGCGGUGAAUACGUUCCCGGGCCUUGUACACACCGCCCGUCAAGCCAUGGGAGCCGGGGGUGCUUGAAGUGCGUCGCCGCAAGGCGCGCCCUAGAGCAAAACCGGUGACUGGGGCUAAGUCGUAACAAGGUAAC
rnacentral:rRNA from 1 species